UAUCUUACUACACUAGGGAUUAUAUAGCUAGAUCUGAAAUUUCAAGAAAAUAGCUGUUUACUUGGCCGUUUUCCUAUGUCGUGAAGUCUGAAAUUUCAAUUCAGUGGAGCAGGGUCAAGAUAUUAACUGAUGUGCAUGAAAUUUCAGAUCUAGCUAUAUAAUCCCUGGUGUAGUAAGAGA